UUAAUUACUAAACCAAUGGGUGUUUUACAAAGGACUAAUUGCCAGAAGAAACGAGAUGUCUUCUCCCACAAUCAUCUCUCUCCCGAUUGAAACCACUGACAAGAAUUCCUCUGCAAUGGUCUUAUACUUCCAAUGGGGAAACAAUUUUGAAAAGUGAUAAAAAAAACUUUUGAUAAUUGCAGGUUGAAAUAAAAGUGUUAGAUGGACUGUGAUCGAUGCGGAAGAAAGAACAAACACACACCCACCAAAUAAAAAAUCAUUUGAACUCAUAAUGUGAUCUACAAGAGAAACCGGUAUUUGAUUUGGGGUCCAAUCUUCCAAGAAAAAAGAAGAAGGAAAAUGUCAGGCUUUUAGUUUUUAAGGAAGAGAUGUGGUCUUCCAUACAGUAUUUUGGACAACAUUAUGUAUUGCUGAUUUUAUGUUCUAAGUUCUCUUCUUUUUUCUUUUAAGAAUCUGGUUUUGAUAAUUGUACUUUUUAGGUGACUAAACGUGCUCGAGUCGGUUUAUAUGUACUUUAAAAAGUUUUAAAAAAAGUUUGCUGGUUUAUGCUUUGGUUAAUGAAGAAUUUUGGGAUCCAAAUCUCUGUAGAUUGUCUACGAGCUAUAUUUGUUUGUGUUACUUGGCGUUCAAUAGUAUUCAGGUCUUUCUGUAAUCGGCUUGGGAGACAGUUUUGAAUAAUGGACAAGAAGAAGUAUCUGAUUGGAUCCUAGCAUUACACAUUCUACGAGGAGGUAGGGAAAGGAACGAGUUCCUAAGUUCACUGCGCUCUUUGUAUCAUCUGAGUGAGAUUGUUGUCAAAAUCCGACUUCGAGCGUGAUAGUUGCGAUUUGGUCAAACCAAUUCAGGAGUGGUGAUAUUCUCCAUUAAUUUUCAGCACUGACUGUGAUGACGGAGUUGACUGUGGUGGCAGAGAUGUCAUUCGUUGACGACUAGCCUGGUCUAUGAAUGACUCCAUUGAUGCAUGAUAACAGGGGCACACUUGAAUAAAUGGGGAGGUAAUCAAUAAUAGAAUGGUAAUGGUCUUUGCUGGGUUACAGAAAUUAUUAAACUAGCAAGAGGAGAAAAAUAUUAUUUGCCAUCUAUGAGGAGAAAGAAGAGAAAGGGAGAGACAGAAAAAGUGAUGAAAACAAUUAGUGCAUUUAAACGUUUCCCACUUUUCCUCUAUGUCAGUUGAAUAAUUCUUAUCCUUCUUCCUUUUCAUAUUCUUUAACAUUUUAA